rnacentral:rRNA from 1 species
GACGAACGCUGGCGGCGCGCCUAACACAUGCAAGUCGAACGAGCGAGAGAGAGCUUGCUUUCUUGAGCGAGUGGCGAACGGGUGAGUAACGCGUGAGGAACCUGCCUCAAAGAGGGGGACAACAGUUGGAAACGACUGCUAAUACCGCAUAAGCCCACGGUGCCGCAUGGCACAGAGGGAAAAGGAGCAAUCCGCUUUGAGAUUGCCUCGCGUCCGAUUAGCUAGUUGGUGAGGUAACGGCCCACCAAGGCGACGAUCGGUAGCCGGACUGAGAGGUUUCACGGCCACAUUGGGACUGAGACACGGCCCAGACUCCUACGGGAGGCAGCAGUGGGGAAUAUUGCACAAUGGGGGAAACCCUGAUGCAGCGACGCCGCGUGGAGGAAGAAGGUCUUCGGAUUGUAAACUCCUGUUGUUGGGGAAGAUAAUGACGGUACCCAACAAGGAAGUGACGGCUAACUACGUG